rnacentral:lncRNA from 1 species
CUCAUUUUUCCUUAAAACCCCUGUACGUACAGAUGUCAGGCACUCUGAAAUACCUGGAUUGGAUUGUAUUUUUGUUUUAUUUCAUUUACAUUUUCUCCUUGCCACGUGCAGUCUUUCAGAGUGACCUACUUGAUCUGUAGACUAAAACUGGGAAAUGGACUUUUGAAGUCCUGUGGUACCACAUUAAAAAGCCACAGUUGUGAGAUAGGACACUUGGAUUCCAGCAUUUUGUUUUCCCUUACUGCUUGGUGUGGAACCACGUAUUUGUCUUAUCUGCACUUCACGUCUUAGUUUUCACCCUUGUUCACAGCUUUUCCCUCCUUUUCUUAUCAGAAUGGAGUAUUUGAAGCCUUUCUCUUCUGAGUUCUUGCAUUUGAAAGCCAAUUUUGCCUGAUCAUUUCCCGGUAGAAUUUCGACUAUUGGAUGGAGGUUUGCAGUAAUGCAGCUGUUGUUCAAGAAGUUGGGAA